CCUACGGGAGGCAGCAGUGAGGAAUAUUGGUCAAUGUACGCAAGUCUGAACCAGCCAAGUAGCGUGCAGGAUUACGGCCCUCCGGGUUGUAGACUGCUUUUAGUUGGGAAUAAAAGGGGGCUCGUGAGCCUCGUAUUGUAUGUACCAUCAGAAAAAGGACCAGCUAAUUCCGUGCCAGCAGCCGCGGUCAUAAGGAAGGUACGGGCGUUAUCCGGAUUUAUUGGGUUUAAAGGGAGCGUAGUCCGGAUUUUAAGUCAGCUGUGAAAGUCCGCGGCUCAACCGUGGAAUUGCAGUUGAAACUGGAGGCCGUGAGUGCACACAGGGAUGCCGGAAUUCAUGGUGUAGAGGUGAAAUGCUUAGAUAUCAUGAAGAACUCCGAUCGCGAAGGCAAGUGUCCGGGGUGCAACUGACGCUGAGGCUCGAAAGUGCGGGUAUCAAACAGGAUUAGAUACCCUUGUAGUC
rnacentral:rRNA from 1 species